AUGGAGGAAUAGGCCCCGGAUCCUUGACUCGGGGCCUCACGGCCUGCCAGCCCAGCUCUCAGCUCCCUCCUGAGACUGUCCGGGGCCACGAAAGUGGGACACAGUUCUCGAAGUAUACCGUCAAGGUGUAGUUGCAACUCCAGUUUGUUCCCCCAGCUCAUGCUGACACUUGAAGCCCAGCUGAUUUCUCUUCAUCUCGUCAAAGUUACUGCCCCAUGGCAGGCCAACACUUGCCUCAGUGGAUGCUCAGAGCUCACUGUCAGAAAAUACAAGAACCCCCAAAGAGCAUUGAAGAGU